AUUGAACGCUGGCGGCAUGCCUUACACAUGCAAGUCGAACGGUAACAGGUCCUCGGAUGCUGACGAGUGGCGAACGGGUGAGUAAUACAUCGUAACGUGCCUAGUAGUGGGGGAUAACUACUCGAAAGAGUGGCUAAUACCGCAUGAGAUCUACGGAUGAAAGCAGGGGAUCGCAAGACCUUGUGCUACUAGAGCGGCCGAUGGCAGAUUAGGUAGUUGGUGGGAUAAAAGCUUACCAAGCCGACGAUCUGUAGCUGGUCUGAGAGGACGAUCAGCCACACUGGGACUGAGACACGGCCCAGACUCCUACGGGAGGCAGCAGUGGGGAAUUUUGGACAAUGGGCGCAAGCCUGAUCCAGCAAUGCCGCGUGCAGGAUGAGGGCCUUCGGGUUGUAAACUGCUUUUGUACGGAACGAAAAGCCCUGGGUUAAUACCCUGGGAUCAUGACGGUACCGUAAGAAUAAGCACCGGCUAACUACGUGCCAGCAGCCGCCGUAACAC
rnacentral:rRNA from 1 species